rnacentral:rRNA from 1 species
CAGUCGCCACGGUAAUACAGAGGGUGCGAGCGUUAAUCGGAUUUACUGGGCGUAAAGCGUGCGUAGGCGGCUAAUUGAGUCGGAUGUGAAAUCCCCGAGCUUAACUUGGGAAUUGCAUUCGAUACUGGUUAGCUAGAGUGUGGGAGAGGAUGGUAGAAUUCCAGGUGUAGCGGUGAAAUGCGUAGAGAUCUGGAGGAAUACCGAUGGCGAAGGCAGCCAUCUGGCCUAACACUGACGCUGAGGUACGAAAGCAUGGGGAGCAAACAGGAUUAGAUACCCCCGUAGUCCCUGUCUCUUAUAC